AGUGAACGCUGGCGGUAGGCCUAACACAUGCAAGUCGAACGGCAGCACAGUAAGAGCUUGCUCUUACGGGUGGCGAGUGGCGGACGGGUGAGGAAUACAUCGGAAUCUACUUUUUCGUGGGGGAUAACGUAGGGAAACUUACGCUAAUACCGCAUACGACCUACGGGUGAAAGCAGGGGAUCUUCGGACCUUGCGCGAUUGAAUGAGCCGAUGUCGGAUUAGCUAGUUGGCGGGGUAAAGGCCCACCAAGGCGACGAUCCGUAGCUGGUCUGAGAGGAUGAUCAGCCCCACUGGAACUGAGACACGGUCGAGACUCCUACGGGAGGCAGCAGUGGGGAAUAUUGGACAAUGGGCGCAAGCCUGAUCCAGCCAUACCGCGUGGGUGAAGAAGGCCUUCGGGUUGUAAAGCCCUUUUGUUGGGAAAGAAAAGCAGCAGGUUAAUACCCCGCUGUUCUGACGGUACCCAAAGAAUAAGCACCGGCUAACUUCGUG
rnacentral:rRNA from 1 species